GCCAUGUGAGGAGGAGCCCAGAAGCCUUUCCCAGGGAGGCUUUGCCACCGGAGAUGCCAGGCCCUGAUGAGCAGGCCUCCCUGCCCUGUGAGCUACCCUCCCACUGUCCUGGCCUAAUGUUGUUAGUGAUGGGACUUCCAGCAGCUGCUGGCCCUGAGCAAAAUCUUCAGAACUGGUGGGAGAUUAAACCCAACUGAUGGGGACUCAGCAGGAAAGGACACUGAUCAGGGAUCCCCGGACAGAACACCAGCCCUUCUCCUUCACAGUCUACAUAGAUCUGUGCUGGGAAGACCCAAGAGUCAGCAGUGGAAGCCAGAAAGUCUAUGCCAGCAGGAUGAAGGAGCUGUGCUAGUGGGAUGAGGGUUCUACGCUGGAGCCGAGAAGUCACACUCACAACAGAGACCAGGGCUGUCCUGAAAG
rnacentral:lncRNA from 1 species